rnacentral:rRNA from 1 species
GCGUAGGCGGCCUAUUAAGUCAGGGGUGAAAGACGGUAGCUUAACUAUCGCAGUGCCUUUGAUACUGAUAGGCUUGAAUGUACUUGAGGUAGGCGGAAUGUGACAAGUAGCGGUGAAAUGCAUAGAUAUGUCACAGAACACCAAUUGCGAAGGCAGCUUACUAAAGUAUGAUUGACGCUGAGGCACGAAAGCGUGGGGAUCAAACAGGAUUAGAUACCCUGGUAGUCCACGCCCUAAACGAUGAACACUCGAUGUUGGCGAUAUACGGUCAGCGUCUAAGCGAAAGCGUUAAGUGUUCCACCUGGGGAGUACGCCCGCAAGGGUGAAACUCAAAGGAAUUGA